UACUAUAUCUUACAAGACUCCUCAUAUCCUAAGACUCCUCUACUGGUAUUUCCUGAGGCUCUACAACAUCCUGAAUAAAGGUCCUUUCUACUUCAUAUAUGGUAUAUGUGGUCUGUGGCCAGUUGACCAUUCUUCUUGGAACAAAUCUGAGGCUAUACAGACAAGUUACACAGCUGGAAGGAGGAAGCAUUCUCUAAGUUCUGAGCUGUAGUAAUUUCAGAGGAUAUCCUUGUCUCUCCCCACCUUCCUAUAAAUAAAUUGGAGAACUUCUCUAAAAAUUGGUCUCUAAAAAACAAUGUGUACAACUCCAAAGCUUGUUCAUUAGAUGAUUAUUCGAAGCUACAUUUUCCUGUUGAUAUAUAUAUAUAACUGCCAAUAAUGAUAAAAAGAGAUGCAUACACCUAGAUGUAUUGUGGAAUCUCUGACUUAGCUAUAAGGAUUUAUAAAUAAAUGUAUAUUCCUGAUUAUCUACUUUCACCAAGUUUUAUUGUAUAACUCCAUUUGCAUGGAAUUACUCCUGAUUCACACCAGGGUGAACAAGAAGAGACUUUGGCUCCCGGUCUUUAGGAUUAUGAGACUACAUCCUUCUUAUUGGCCUAGUCCUGAAUUUUGUACAACUGUUUUCUAUCUUCCUCUAACUGUAUAUACCUUUUUGGAAGUAGCAUCUCAGCGUGAUAUUA